rnacentral:lncRNA from 1 species
UUCCCCCUCCAAUGAAAAAUACCCCCAAUAAGUCUGACACCUUUUGGUUAUAUUAAUAAAGAUAUUUUUUCUUUAGACCCUACUACAAGUUUUCUGUUAAAGCAAACACACAAAAUGUUCAAUUGAUAACGGCAAUUGAGAACAACCAAAAAUGUCACGAGGAGUAUAUCUGAGACAAUCGAGUCCAGCCUCAACCCUUGGGAUGACUAUUGGAGGAAAUCCAAUGUAGGAUAUUUGGGCCCUA